rnacentral:misc_RNA from 1 species
GAAAUGCGAUAAUUAAUGUGAAUUGCAGAAUUCAGUGAAUCAUCGAGUCUUUGAACGCACAUUGCGCCCCCUGGUAUUCCGGGGGGCAUGCCUGUCCGAGCGUCAUUGCUGCCCUCAAGCACGGCUUGUGUGUUGGGCUUCCGUCCCUGGCAACGGGGACGGGCCCAAAGGGCAGUGGCGGCACCAUGUCUGGUCCUCGAGCGUAUGGGGCUUUGUCACCCGCUCCCGUAGGUCCAGCUGGCAGCUAGCCUCGCAACCAAUCCUUUUAACCAGGUUGACCUCGGAUCAGGUAGGGAUACCCGCUGAACUUAAGC